rnacentral:rRNA from 1 species
AGCCUGACGCAGCGACGCCGCGUGCGGGAUGAAGGCCUUCGGGUCGUAAACCGCUUUCAGCAGGGACGAUAGUGACGGUACCUCCAGAAGAAGCCCCGGCCAAAUACGUGCCAGCAGCCGCGGUAAUACGUAGGGGGCGAGCGUUGUCCCGAUUUACUGGGCGUAAAGAGCUCGUAGGCGGUUUGGUAAAUCGGGUGUGAAAUAUCCAGGCUCAACCUGGAGCGGCCACUCGAUACUGCCAUGACUAGAGUUCGGUAGAGGAGUGUGGAAUUCCCGGUGUAGCGGUGAAAUGCGCAAAUAUCGGGAGGAACACCCGUAGCGAAGGCGGCACUCCGGGCCGACACUGACGCUGAGGAGCGAAAGCCGUGGGGAGCGAACAGGAUUAGAUAACCCUGGUAGUUCCACCGCCCGAAAACGUUGGGCACUAGGUGUGGGGCUCUAUCAACGCCUUCCGUGCCGUAGCUAACGCAUUAAGUCCCCCGCCUG